rnacentral:lncRNA from 10 species
GCCAUGGAGCCCCUAGUCAGCUGGUGGAGGCCGUGAAGGGGUCCGCGUUAAGCGCUAUACCCCCAUCUGUUCUACGACAAUGGAAUUAAAUGGUUUCUAAAGGGAGCUUAGUUCUUCUGGAAACAGGUUUGUGGAAAAUCAGCUGAUAAAAGCAGCUUAAUAGAAGAAAAGCAUACACAAUUAUUCGAUCAUAGUUUUAUGUGACACAGGAGCCUUCAGAAUGGGGACCCAAAGAGACAGG